AACGAACGCUGGCGGCAUGCCUAACACAUGCAAGUCGAACGAGAUCUUCGGGUCUAGUGGCGCACGGGUGCGUAACGCGUGGGAAUCUGCCCUUUGGUUCGGAAUAACAGUUGGAAACGACUGCUAAUACCGGAUGAUGACGAAAGUCCAAAGAUUUAUCGCCAGAGGAUGAGCCCGCGUAGGAUUAGCUAGUUGGUGGGGUAAAGGCGCCCCAAGGCGACGAUCCUUAGCUGGUCUGAGAGGAUGAACAGCCACACUGGGACUGAGACACGGACCAGACUCCUACGGGAGGCAACAGGGGGGAAUAUUGGACAAUGGGCGAAAGCCUGAUCCAGCAAUGCCGCGUGAGUGAUGAAGGCCUUAGGGUUGUAAAGCUCUUUUACCCGGGAUGAUAAUGACAGUACCGGGAGAAUAAGCUCCGGCUAACUCCGUGCCAGCCGCCGCCAUAA
rnacentral:rRNA from 1 species